rnacentral:rRNA from 1 species
CCCAGAUAAGCCUCGGCUGAAUUAUGAUGCCCGCAGCCGCAGAGUACUUCACGUACGGUGGCCAAGCGGUUAUCGUCGGAAUUUUCUGGCGCGUACAGCGGCGCGAGCUCGCUGUUUCAUUACGUCUGAUUUGCAAAGCCCCCGGCUCAAUCCCGUGGAGGGUUCAUCCUGAAAGCUGCGGAGCCUUGCGUCGCGGAAGAGGAAAGUGGAAUUUUCCAUCGUGUAGGAGGGUGAGGGGAUGCGGUAGUAGAUAUGGGGGAACCCCCCGUGGGGGAAGGGGGUGUUUCUGGUCUUGGUAAUCUGACACCUGAGGGGGGGCAAAGCGUGGGGGGCCAAACAAGGGUUUAGAUUACCCCGUUGUAGUCCACGCCUUAAACGAUGGGUGUUACGUGUUAUAGGGUUUUCCGCCCUUUAGGUGCUGCAAAGUUAAUCGCUAUUAAGCAUUCUUCCGCCUGGGGAGGUAUGGCCGCUAUGGCUGAAAAACUCCAAAGGGGUUUAGGGGGGGGGCCCUGCCCACGCGGUGGGGCAUGUGGUUUAUUUUGGGGGAAGUAACGCGACAGAACCUUUCCGGGUUCUUGACUUUCCUUCUUAAGUAUCACUAGAGAUAGGUGGUUCUCUUUUUGGAGCGAGAGUUUUCAGGUUGUGCCAUGGUUGUAGGUCAGCUCGUUUUUCAAGUGAGAUGUUUGGUUAAUUCCCGACCAAACGAGUACGCAACCGACUUGAAAGCUUUCAUAGUUGCACUGGGGGAUGCUACUUCAGACUUUGGUGCACUCUGCGGAUGAUUGCCUAGUGCUGACCUCCCGUAGGAAGUUUGGGCCGAUGUCGUCAAGUCCCAGUGUGGCCGAUGCACCCUCUCAUGACGUGGGCUACGCAUCGUUGCUACAUUGGUGAGCGGUUACCUCACCAGAGCUAGCUAAUGCGACCGCGAGGUGGAGCUCAUCUCAUAAAACCGUUUUCAGUUCGGAUUGUAGCCGCCUUUCAACUUUCGUACCAUGAAGCUGGAUUCGCUAUGUUAUCGCGGUAUUAGCAUGCCGCGGUGAAUACGUUCCCGGAGCCUUGUCCCAGUCUUAUGGGCAGGUUACACCACGAGUGUUUGUAACACCCGAAGUCGGUGGGGUAACCCACUUCUUUAAGAGUUUGAUGCUGGCUCAUCAUGCUGAGCCGUGGAUCAACCUCUAUAGAGUACGCCCGU